AAUCCAUGAUGUGGGCAUUGUCUGAGCAUACUAUUGUAUCUAUCCCAUGCUUCAAAUAGAGAUUCUGAGUCUGAUUGUCUAAAGCUUGCAAUAAGGUUUCUCAUAUG